CCUACGGGAGGCAGCAGUGAGGAAUAUUGGUCAAUGGGCGCGAGCCUGAACCAGCCACGUCGCGUGAAGGAUGACUGCCCUAGGGGUUGUAAACUUCUUUUAUAUGGGAAUAAACUGUGCCACGUGUGAAAUUUUGUAUUUACGCUAUGAAUGAGCAUCGGCUAACUCCGGGCCAGCAGCCGCGGUAAUACGGAGGAUCCGAGCGUUAUCCGGAUUUAUUGGGUGUAAAGGGAGAGUAGGUGGGUUGUUAAGUCAGUUGUGAAAGUCUGCGGCUCAACCGUAGAACUGCAGUUGAAACUGGCAGUCUUGAGUACAGGAGAGGUAGGCGGAAUUCGUGGUGUAGCGGUGAAAUGCUUAGAUAUAACGAAGAACACCGAUGGCGAAGGCAGCCUACUGGACUGCAACUGACGCUGAGGCGCGAAAGUGUGGGGAGCAAACAGGAUUAGAUACCCCAGUAGUC
rnacentral:rRNA from 1 species